GAAAGGCGGGCUAAACCCGCGUACAUGCCGCCGGGGCAUCCGGAGGCAGGAAAGGCUUCGUCCGGACAGGGAUGGGCAUGCGGCGCAUUAGGCAGUAGGCGGGGUAACGGCCCACCUAACCGACGAUGCGUAGGGGUUCUGAGAGGAAGGUCCCCCACACUGGUACUGAGACACGGACCAGACUCCUACGGGAGGCAGCAGUGAGGAAUAUUGGUCAAUGGUCGGGAGACUGAACCAGCCAAGCCGCGUGAGGGAUGAAGGUACAGAGUAUCGUAAACCUCUUUUGUCAGGGAACAAAGGCGGGGACGUGUCCCCGGAUGAGUGUACCUGAAGAAAAAGCAUCGGCUAACUCCGUGCCAGCAGCCGCGGUAAUACGGAGGAUGCGAGCGUUAUCCGGAUUUAUUGGGUUUAAAGGGUGCGCAGGCGGUCUGUUAAGUCAGCGGUCAAAGCCCGGGGCUCAACCCCGGCCCGCCGUUGAAACUGGCAGUCUCGAGUUGGAGAGAAGUAUGCGGAAUGCGCGGUGUAGCGGUGAAAUGCAUAGAUAUCGCGCAGAACUCCGAUUGCGAAGGCAGCAUGCCGGCUCCACACUGACGCUGAGGCACGAAAGCGUGGGUAUCGAACAGGAUUAGAUACCCUGGUAGUCC
rnacentral:rRNA from 1 species